rnacentral:tRNA from 1 species
GAUUAAAUAGUUUAUAAAAAUUUUAAUUUGUGGUAUUGAAGAUAUAAAUUUAUUUUAUUUUAAUCA